rnacentral:rRNA from 1 species
AGUGAACGCUGGCGGUAGGCCUAACACAUGCAAGUCGAACGGCAGCACAGUAAGAGCUUGCUCUUACGGGUGGCGAGUGGCGGACGGGUGAGGAAUACAUCGGACUCUACUUUUUCGUGGGGGAUAACGUAGGGAAACUUACGCUAAUACCGCAUACGACCUACGGGUGAAAGCAGGGGAUCUUCGGACCUUGCGCGAUUGAAUGAGCCGAUGUCGGAUUAGCUAGUUGGCGGGGUAAAGGCCCACCAAGGCGACGAUCCGUAGCUGGUCUGAGAGGAUGGUCAGCCACACUGGAACUGAGACACGGUCCAGACUCCUACGGGAGGCAGCAGUGGGGAAUAUUGGGCAAUGGGCGCAAGCCUGAUCCAGCCAUACCGCGUGGGUGAAGAAGGCCUUCGGGUUGUAAAGCCCUUUUGUUGGGAAAGAAAAGCAGCAGGUUAAUACCCCGCUGUUCUGACGGUACCCAAAGAAGAAGCACCGGCUAACUUCGUG